UACGAGGGGUGCAAACGUUAUUCGGAAUAACUGGGCGUAAAGGGUGCGUAGGCGGUCCAUUAAGUCAGUUGUGAAAUACGGCAGCUUAACUGUCGAGGUGCAAUUGAUACUGGUGGACUUGAGUACUGAUGAGGUAGGCGGAGUGGACGGUGUAGCGGUGAAAUGCUUAGAGAUCGUCCAGAACACCGAUAGCGAAGGCAGCUUACUAAAGAGUAACUGACGCUGAGGCACGAAAGUGUGGGGAUCAAACAGG
rnacentral:rRNA from 1 species